UACGGAGGGUGCAAGCGUUAUCCGGAUUCACUGGGUUUAAAGGGUGCGUAGGUGGGUUGGUAAGUCAGUGGUGAAAUCUCCGAGCUUAACUUGGAAACUGCCAUUGAUACUAUCAGUCUUGAAUACUGUGGAGGUCAGCGGAAUAUGUCAUGUAGCGGUGAAAUGCUUAGAUAUGACAUAGAACACCAAUUGCGGAGGCAGCGCGCUACACAUAUAUUGACUCUGAGGCACGAAAGCGUGGGGAUCAAACAGG
rnacentral:rRNA from 1 species